UACGUAGGGUGCGAGCGUUGUCCGGAAUUACUGGGCGUAAAGAGCUCGUAGGUGGUUUGUCGCGUUGUUCGUGAAAACUCACGGCUUAACUGUGAGCGUGCGGGCGAUACGGGCAGACUGGAGUACUGCAGGGAGACUGGAAUUCCUGGUGUAGCGGUGGAAUGCGCAGAUAUCAGGAGGAACACCGGUGGCGAAGGCGGGUCUCUGGGCAGUAACUGACGCUGGAGGAGCGAAAGCGUGGGGAGCGAACAGG
rnacentral:rRNA from 1 species